GCCUGUACGAGUGGAAAACCCACGCAGCUCAGGGUGCCGCGACGCCACCCCCGCCAGUGGAGCGCCUCGGGGCCGGAGGUCGCUGCUCCGUCACGGAGCCCACGGCGGAGGGGGCCGCCCCAGCCCGGGACGUUCCAACCGCUUUGCAGAUGCCCGGAAGAACCACAAACAAAACAUGGUGACGCCGCGACUGUUAAAGGAGCCGCGGCGGCGGGGGAGGAGACCGGGUCUUGCGGGAGCCAGCCCCAAUGGUCCCAUCUGCUAAGCAGGGUUUGCCUGGGCUUGUAUUGGGAUGGGAGACGACAGGACAACUUGUUUGUGAUUGCCUGAAUCCAGUUUACCAAGGAGAAGAGCUGCUGGUGCAAUAACCUAGAAGUCUUCAGAUGAAAGUCUGGCUGCUUGGGCCCCACCCUUGCCAUGGUAAUAGGCUUUCCAACUACACAGCACUCUGGAAGCAUUGCUGGGUGAAGACCUGUCUAACUCAGAAGCUUGUGACCAAAAUAGCAAGCUUGGUGGUCGUUGUCAUCAUCAUGGUCCCACAGGGAUAUCUUAAAGUGUCAUUCUGAAGAAGAGCUCUGCUUGACCCAAAGGUUUGCUGCCCUCACAUUUUGAGUUGGAGGAUUGCUAACCUUUUUUCUUUCUCCUGAUAAAGCCUACAGGCAGAAAUUGAAUUGAGAAAGGGAAAUCAUUCCUGCCACUUUAUGAUUUUGGGGUGGCUGCAUCGGUCAGGUUUCUCUCUGCUGUACUGCUUUUUAAAGGCAGAGGGGCACUGCAGGUGGGUCGGGGGGAAGGCACCCUGCAAGGAAGUGGGGCUGCACCUGUUGGAUUUCUGAGUGGAUACCAGAUGGUUCUUGGGUUGGAUGCAGCAGGGCUCUCCUUAAAAGAGGAUUGGACAAAUUCAUGGAGAAAGAGGGGGAGUAUAGUAUGACAGCUAAAUGGAACUUCCAUGUUCAAAGGCAGUGUACCUUCUGAAUGUUAGACGCUGCGGAAACCCAACAGACAAAAGCAGGGAGAACACCUAUCUGUUCACCUCAGGACACAGGAUGUUGGAUUAGAUGGGUCUGAUUCACAGGCGUCAUCUUAUGUUUUCGUCUUCCUACGAACAUUCGUUUUAUGUAUUUUGCAUUUAGUUUUACAUUUCUAUUCCACUCUUCCUCUGGGGAGUCCAGGGCGGUGUGCAUGGCUUAUGUUUAUCCUCAUAAUAACCCUGUGAGGUAGGUUAGGCUGAGAGAGAAGUGACUGGCCCAGAGUCACCUGCCCAAUCAUAGUUUACAAAAGAGAAAACAAUCUGUUUGGCUGCAUACUGAAAUGUAUAAUUCUACUCUGUUAUAAAUAAAACCCAUUAUUUUCCA